rnacentral:rRNA from 1 species
AACGCGAAGAACCUUACCUGGAUUUGACAUGGACUGGCUACCAGUAGAAAUACUGGGUUCCGCAAGGACCGGUUCACAGGUGCUGCAUGGCUGUCGUCAGCUCGUGCCGUGAGGUGUUCGGUUAAGUCCGGCAACGAGCGCAACCCACGUUAGUAGUUGCCAGCAGGUAAAGCUGGGCACUCUACUGAUACUGCCCGUGUUAAGCGGGAGGAAGGAGUGGAUGAUGUCAAGUCCGUAUGGCCUUUAUAUCCAGGGCUGCACACGUGCUACAAUGGCUGCUACAGAGGGAAGCGAAAUCGCGAGAUGGAGCAGAUCCGUAAAAACAGCCCUAGUUCGGAUUGCAGGCUGCAACUCGCCUGCAUGAAGCCGGAAUCGCUAGUAAAGGCGUAUCAGCCACGACGCCUUGAAUACGUUCCCGGGCCUUGUACACACCGCCCGU